rnacentral:rRNA from 1 species
UACGUAGGGUGCGAGCGUUAAUCGGAAUUACUGGGCGUAAAGCGUGCGCAGGCGGUCUGUUAAGACAGAUGUGAAAUCCCUGGGCUCAACCCAGGAACUGCGUCCGAGACUGGGAGGCUUGAAUCCGGGAGAGGGAUGCGGAAUUCCAGGUGUAGCGGUGAAAUGCGUAGAUAUCUGGAGGAACACCGGUGGCGAAGGCGGCCACCUGGACGGAUACUGACGCUGAGACGCGAAAGCGUGGGGAGCAAACAGG